CCCUUAGAUGUUCUGGGCUGCACGCGUGCUACACUGAUAUUGCCAAUAUGUCAUUCUUAUCCGAAAUGGAUUGGGUAAUCAAGUAAUGAAAUUUCAUGCUUGGAAUCGGUAAUUGCAAUUUUAUCGUGAACGAGGAAUUCCUAGUAAACACUAGUCAUCAGCUAAUGUUGAUUAUGUCCCUGCCCUUUGUACACACCGCCCGUCGCUACUACUGAUUGGGUGUUCAAGUGAGAUGCUUAGACCCUUGUUGCAUGGUUCAUUAUUGUGCUCCGAAAGGAAAAAGUUUCAAGCUUGAGUGUCUAGAGGAAGUAAAAGUCGUAACA
rnacentral:rRNA from 1 species